GUUGGGUAACACUAACUGGAGGACCGAACCGACUAAUGUUGAAAAAUUAGCGGAUGACCUGUGGCUGGGGGUGAAAGGCCAAUCAAACCGGGAGAUAGCUGGUUCUCCCCGAAAGCUAUUUAGGUAGCGCCUCGUGAAUUCAUCUCCGGGGGUAGAGCACUGUUUCGGCCAGGGGGCCAUCCCGGCUUACCAACCCGAUGCAAACUGCGAAUACCGGAGAAUGUUAUCACGGGAGACACACGGCGGGUGCUAACGUCCGUCGUGAAGAGGGAAACAACCCAGACCGCCAGCUAAGGUCCCAAAGUCAUGGUUAAGUGGGAAACGAUGUGGGAAGGCCCAGACAGCCAGGAUGUUGGCUUAGAAGCAGCCAUCAUUUAAAGAAAGCGUAAUAGCUCACUGGUCGAGUCGGCCUGCGCGGAAGAUGUAACGGGGCUAAACCAU
rnacentral:rRNA from 1 species